rnacentral:piRNA from 1 species
UGGUACUGGUAACGGGACCAUGAUGC